rnacentral:rRNA from 1 species
CACGUAGGGGGCGAGCGUUAUCCGGAUUUACUGGGCGUAAAGCGCGUUAAGGCGGCCGGCAAAGUUGGUUGUGAAAUUUCGGGGCUCAACCCCGAAACUGCGUCCAAUACUGGUCGGCUGGAGUGUGAGAGAGGAAGGUGGAAUUCUCGGUGUAGCGGUGAAAUGCGUAGAUAUCGAGAGGAACACCUGCGGCGAAGGCGGGUUGCUGGGCCGACACUGACGCUGAUGCGCGAAAGCCAGGGGAGCGAACGGG